rnacentral:rRNA from 1 species
GACGAACGCUGGCGGCGUGCCUAAUACAUGCAAGUAGAACGCACAGUUUAUACCGUAGCUUGCUACACCAUAGACUGUGAGUUGCGAACGGGUGAGUAAAGCGUAGGUAACCUGCCUGGUAGCGGGGGAUAACUAUUGGAAACGCUAGCUAAUACCGCAUAAUAUUGAUUAUUGCAUGAUAAUUAAUUGAAAGGUGCAAUUGCACCACUACCAGAUGGACCUGCGUUGUAUUAGCUAGUAGGUGAGGUAACGGCUCACCUAGGCGACGAUACAUAGCCGACAUGAGAGGGUGAGCGGCCACACUGGGGCUGAGACACGGCCCAGACUCCUACGGGAGGCAGCAGUAGGGAAUCUUCGGCAAUGGACGAAAGUCUGACCGAGCAACGCCGCGUGAGUGAAGAAGGUUUGCGGAUCGUAAAGCGCUGUUGUAAGAGAAGAACGGGUGUGAGAGUGGAAAGUUCACACUGUGACGGUAUCUUACCAGAGAGGGACGGCUAACUACGUG